rnacentral:rRNA from 1 species
AGAUUGAACGCUGGCGGCAUGCCUUACACAUGCAAGUCCGAACGGUAACAGGUCUUUCGGGAUGCUGACGAGUGGCGAACGGGUGAGUAAUACAUCGGAACGUGCCUAGUAGUGGGGGAUAACUACUCGAAAGAGUGGCUAAUACCGCAUGAGAUCUAUGGAUGAAAGCAGGGGACCUUCGGGCCUUGUGCUACUAGAGCGGCCGAUGGCAGAUUAGGUAGUUGGUGGGAUAAAAGCUUACCAAGCCUGCGAUCUGUAGCUGGUCUGAGAGGACGAUCAGCCACACUGGGACUGAGACACGGCCCNGACUCCUACGGGAGGCAGCAGUGGGGAAUUUUGGACAAUGGGGGAAACCCUGAUCCAGCAAUGCCGCGUGNNGGAUGAAGGCCUUCGGGUUGUAAACUGCUUUUGUACGGAACGAAAAGUCUUGGGCUAAUACCCUG